rnacentral:rRNA from 1 species
UACGUAGGGGGCAAGCGUUGUCCGGAAUUAUUGGGCGUAAAGAGCUCGUAGGCGGUUUGUCGCGUCUGCCGUGAAAGUCCGGGGCUCAACUCCGGAUCUGCGGUGGGUACGGGCAGACUAGAGUGAUGUAGGGGAGACUGGAAUUCCUGGUGUAGCGGUGAAAUGCGCAGAUAUCAGGAGGAACACCGGUGGCGAAGGCGGUUCUCUGGGCAUUACCUGACGCUGAGGAGCGAAAGCGUGGGGAGCGAACAGG